CUGGCCUAAGGAGCUGUGGGUUUGAUGCCUCUUCCCUGCCUCCUGCAUUCAAAAGGAGUAUAUGUUACCUAGGUAUCACCUGGCCACUUGUGACCCUAACAGAAGCAAUGAAUAAAUCUGGAAGCAAAAACAAACAGAGAAACCAGAGAAGAAGGACCUUGGAUAUGAAGAGUCAGCCUGCCUUCCCAGCACGCAAGUUAUUAGGUCCUGUGUGGUGCUUUCAGAUCCUUUGUGGUGUAAUCAGGCAGAUCCAGGUCUCAGGAGCCCUCGGGGAAGGUUUGGUGGCUGCAGAAAAGGACUUUCUCUGAGAAUCCAGAAGUGACAUCAGGGAAGAACCUCAAAGGAUCCAUGGUCCCCCAACACAGCAAGUCAGUGCAGCUCCUAGAAUCCCUUCCUUCAGGGAGGCCCAGAGAAAUAAAGUGUUAAGAGGCCUUACCCUCAGGCGACAUCUUCUUUCAGCCUCUGUGGCUACAGUAUGUACAGUGUGCUGAGUGGGGAAGGACCUCUCUCCCUGUUAAAUCUGUAGUGCGACCACAUGGAAGGCAUCUGAGGACCUAGAGCAAGGAGACGUGGCUAUCCUGCCCCACUGUGGUCCCAAUCUAGGUACUGAAUCAGCAUCUUCCAAGGAUUUUAAAAUAGAAACCCCAGUUUCCAGCCCACACCAAUGAAUCAGAAUCUCUCAGGAAGGGGCUCAGGGAAGCUGUGUUUUUAAAAACUCCAAGUACCUUACCUUCUCACCAUCAUGAAAAUAGAAAUGAACGAAAUUAAUGAGGCAAAAAUUUCCAGGCACUGGACCAGGGGCACAGUGCAGAACUGUGAUCUCUGAGAGGAGGACAACACUUAAGGGAGGGAG
rnacentral:lncRNA from 1 species